CAACCUCAGAUCAGACAUGGCGAUCUGCCAAAUUUAAGCAUAUUAUUAAGCGGAGGAAAAGAAACUAAACAGGAUUGCCUCAGUAACGGCAAGUGAAGAGGAAGAGCCCAGCACCGAAUCCCCACCUGGGUGAUGGGUGCAGUGUAAUGUGGCAUAUGUGUGGAAGUCUGUCUCCCUAGCGCUGCCCAGGGGGCCCAAGUCCUUGUGAUCGACACUCAGCCUGCGGACGGUGUGAGGCCAGUGGUAACCCCCAGCUCAUCGGAUCAGGUCUUCCCAGAGUCGGGUUAUUUGUGAAUUCAGCCCAAAGCAGGUUGUUAACUCCAUCUAAGGCUAAACACAGGCACGAGACCGAUAGUGGACAAGUACCAUAAGGGAAAGUUGAAAAGAAAUUUGAAUAGAGAGUUCAAGAGGGCAUGAAACCAUUCAGAGGUAAAUGGGUGGGGUCCGCGCGGUCCACCCAGAGGAUUCAACUCAGAGGCUGCUCCUGCCGCCUGGAUGAGGUGGAUCCCCCUCCGGGGGGGUGGGUCACCGUCCCUGGGCAUGCCAGCUGCCAUCGGGUGCACUUCCACAGCAGUGGUGCACCGUGACCGGCUCUGGGUCGGCUGAGAAGGCUGUAUGGAAGGUAGUUCCCCUCCAUGGAGGGGAGUGUUACAGCCUGCAGCAUUAGCCCUCACCAUGCCCCAGGGUCAUGGGAGACAACUGCCGCUGCACCCUCCCCUGCCCUCGUGCCCUGGCAGGAAUGUCAACUUUGCCAGACUGCCCUCAGUGCAGCCCGACCGCAUCCUGCUUCUGGGCCAGUGGGCUCACCUUGGGUGCCCGGGGUCCGCGGUGACAUCGGUGACCCACCCGUCCCAUCUUGAAACACGGAUCAAGGAGUUUAACAGGUGCAUGAGUCCGAGGUUGGGCAGGAGACCCCACGGUGCAAUGAAGGUGAGGGCCGGCUCACACCAGCUUAGGCGGGAUCUCUCUGCCCCACGCAGGGGCGCACCACCAGCCAGUCUCACCCAUCCCGUCGAGGAGGUGGAGCGUGAGUGCACCUGGUGGGACCUGAAAGAUGGUGAGCUAUGCCUGGGCUAGGUGAAGCCAGAGGAAACUCUGGUGGAGGUCCAUAGUGGUCCUGAUGUGCAAAUCAGUCAUCCGACCUUGGUAUAGGGGUGAAAGACUAACUGAACCAUCUAGUAGCUGGUUCCCUCUGAAGUUUCCCUCAGGAUAGCUGGAGCUCGACGGGCACAGUUUUAUCUGAUAAAGUGAAUGGUUAGAGGUCUUGGGGCAGAAACUAUCUCAACCUAUUCUCAAACUUUAAAUGUAUAAGAAGCCCGACUCACUGGCUUGGAGUUGGGUGUGGAAUGCGAGCGCCCAGUGCGCCACUUUUGGUAAGCAGAACUGGCGCUGCAUGUUGAAUCAAACGCUGGGUUAACGAGCCCGAUGCAGACACUCAUCAGAUCCCAGAAAGGUGUUUGUUGAUAUAGACAGCAGGACGGUGGCUAUGGAAGUCGGAAUCUGCUAAGGAGUGUGUAACAACUCACUUGCCGAAUCAACUAUCCCUGAAAAUAAUGGCGCUGGAGCGUUGGGCCCAUACCCGGCCGUCGCUGGGAGCCGAGGGUGCUACACCGCAACAAGUAGGAGGGCCACUGUGGUGACACUGAUGCCCAGGGCGAGGGCCUGGGUGGAGCUACCAUGGGUGCAGAUCUUCGUGGUAGUAGCAAAUAUUCAAACGAGAGAUUUGAAGGCCAAAGUGGAGAAGGGUUCCAUGUGAACCGCAGUUGAACAUGGGUCAGUUGGUCAUGAGUGAUAGGCGAGCGCUAUUCCAAAGGGAUGGGCAAUGGCCUCUGUCGCCUUCGGCUGAUCAAAAGGGAGUUAGGUUCAGAUCCCCAAAUCCGUAGUGGCUGAUAUGGGUGCCUCUCAGCAUCCUGUGCGAUAAUGCAAACAAUCCCGGAGAAGCUGGCAGGGGCCCGUAGGAGAGUUCUCUUUUCUUUCUAAAGGGCAGGGCGCCCUGGAAUAGGUUCACCCAGAGAGAGGGGCUCACUCCCUGGAAAGUGUCGCGGUUCCAGCGGCAUCAGGUGAGCUCUCGCUGGUCCUUGAAAAUCCAGGGGAGAGGGUUUAAGUCUCACGCCGGGCCGUACCCAUAUCCACAGCAGGUCUCCAAGGUGAACAGCGUCUGACAUGUUAGAACAAUGUAGGUAAGGGAAGUCGGCAAGCCAGAGCCAUAACUUCAGGAUAAGGAGUGGCUUUAAGGGCUGGGUCAGUCGGGAUCGGGUGAAGCAGGACUCGGUGCACACCAUGACUGUAUGAGGCAUCGCCCCCUCGCCAUGUUCCCCCCUGAGGAGGACAGCAGCCAUGACUCUGGACAUGUGCCAGACCCUUCCUGUUGAUCGCCCCAGCUGUGGUGGGUGCCAGUCUCAACCGGCGUCCCGCAUCGUCCGGCAGCUACAGCUGGUUUAGACUGGUGCAGACUGGGGGAAUCUGACUGUUUAAUUAAAACAAAGCAUCAUGAAGGCCC